AAGUCUCCGUUGGUGAACCAGCGGAGGGAUCAUUAAAGAGUUGCAAAACUCCCAAACCCAUUGUGAACAUACCUUCAACGUUGCUUCGGCGGGUUGGCCCCGGUCUCCGGGGUCCCCGGCCCUACUCGGGCGCCCGCCGGAGGUAUCUAACUCUUGAACUUUUACGGCCUCUCUGAGUCUUUGUACUUAAUAAGUCAAAACUUUCAACAACGGAUCUCUUGGUUCUGGCAUCGAUGAAGAACGCAGCGAAAUGCGAUAAGUAAUGUGAAUUGCAGAAUUCAGUGAAUCAUCGAAUCUUUGAACGCACAUUGCGCCCGCCAGUAUUCUGGCGGGCAUGCCUGUUCGAGCGUCAUUUCAACCAUCAAGCCCCCGGCUUGUGUUGGGGACCUGCGGCUGCCGCAGGCCCUGAAAACCAGUGGCGGGCUCGCUAGUCACUCCGAGCGUAGUAAUACAUCUCGCUCAGGGCGUGCUGCGGGUUCCGGCCGUUAAAAACCCUUAUUUACCCAAGGUUGACCUCGGAUCAGGUAGGAAGACCCGCUGAACUUAAGCAUAUCAAUAA
rnacentral:sRNA from 1 species